GCUCAGGUAUGUCUUUAUUACCAGUGUUCUUGAGGAUACAAUCAACCAAGGUACACUUUAAAUUAAAGCAGAUAUAUGGAUAAAACAGGAAAAAUACAAGGAUAUUCAAUAUCAACAUUUCCAUUAAGAAUUGUACUUGGGCAUCUGGCCAACAGAAUUCAGAGCCCCAGCCUGUUCAUAAAAAAAAUCAGAUGAAUUUUGUCUGCGGAACAUUCUGCAAAAAUAUCUGACCAGUAAGUAAUCCUCUAAAUAGCCACAGCCAUCAACAGCAAGGAAAGUCUGAGAAAGUGUCACAGCCAAGAGGACCCUAUAAAGACAUGAUGACUAAAUGUAACAUGGUGUCUUCCAUGGGAUCCUGAAACAGAAAAAGGACAUUAGAGCUGGGGAUUGUGGUAUGUGCCUUUAGUCCUAGCUACUCCGGAGGCUGAGGCAGGAGGAUCACUUGAGCCCAGGACUUUGAGGCCGCUGUAAGCUAUGAUCAUGCCACUGCACUCCAGCUCAGGCAACAGUGAGACCCGGUCUCAACAAACAAAAGAAAAUAAAAGAAUGGUAGACAAGGCAAUAGGUAUUUUUAAAAGUGAGAGAAACUAUCAGAGAGCUGUAGCAGAAAAGCAAGUUAAAAAUAAAGGAAACAGAAAAGGAACUGAUACAGCUGAUUUGAUACUAGAAAAAUCACCCAGGAGGCGGCGUGGAGAAUGGAUUGGAGAAGG
rnacentral:antisense_RNA from 1 species